UGAGGAAACCAUUGCAAGCUCUCCUGGAGGCCCCUGCCCCUAGAGGCUAGGGCUCUGCAGCCACUGGACAAUUUGGGUGUCCCUUCUUAGGAGCUUCUGAAAAGGGGGCUCCGGGUGGGGCUGACUUUGUUCUGAUCUGAGCCUGUCUUGGGACCCUUUUCACUCUCCCGAGCCAGAUAGCACACACACUGUCUCCCCCCAGUAGUGGCUCUCCAAUGGAGCUGCGCUCAGAGACACAGCCUUGGGGAUGCACUACAGCUAGGGAUCCAAGUUAUUUCCUCAGCUGGGAUCCAAAUCCUUCGUUUCCUGUAUGCCUCGGUUUCCUCACCAGAUACAUGAUGGGCUGCUGAGAGAAUCCAAAGACCAACACACAGCCAUCUACUUCCUAGGGGGUGGGGAUGGCAUUGGGUGCUGGAGCGGAGUCUUAGGCUAGCUGCUCAGGGGCCUUGGAAUUUGACCUGACUUUCCCAGGCAGGAAGUUCGUCUCUCUUCCUCGGCUCGCCCAGUCCAGUAUUAUAAGCUGCUGACUCUGAAUUUCUCAGCCCUCUAUUCCUGUCUCCGUCGAGAGACAGGAAGAAGGGUGGCUCCCAGAACUGCCACUGGGCCCUGGGCAUGACUAGGUUCUCGAACUCAUCUGGAAGUCUCCUUUCCUUCAUCCACACUCCGUGGCUGGUUUGCCGAGAUCACAACUCCAGUGGCCAGCAGAUGGCAGCCCAGGCAUCUCUCGGUGCUUGUGAACUGGUUCGGUGAUCCACUGGUAUCAGGAUUUGUUCUGGUAACUUAUGGAGUAGUAGAUCUAUGAGGAGAACCUCAAAGAAUCUGUAUGAAGCUUUCAGCCUGCUCAGAAUCCACAUGGAGUCCAGCUCUUUCCACAAAAUAAUGAAGACCGAGCCAUGUUUAGCUGCUCAACCCCACGAUGGACAGGUUUACUGUAAGUUGCACUCUUAAGGAACUGGGUGUUUGCAGCCUCCGCUGUGAACAUGAUGUCCUGCAUCUAAUGUCAUCCUGCUUAGCCUCAGGAAGCUGUCUGUGCGCUUUACCUGGCCGGGUGGAGCAAGAAGCCCUGUGCAGCACAGGGAAUUGGUGAUACAGCAUGUAGUGGAGCCUGAAGAAAGUGCACCGUGUCUUUCAAGACCCGUUCUUCCUCUAUAGCAGUGGUCCUCAGCCUUCCUCAUGCUGCGGCCCUCUAAUGCACUUCCUCGUGUUGUGGUAACCCACCCGUACAAUUUUCACUGCUUCUUCAUACCUGUAAUUUUGCUACUGUGGUGGAUCUGUAAUGUAAAUAUUUGCUAUGCAGGAUAUCCGGUAUCUGAUCUCUGUGAAAGGCCCAAAGGGGUCACGACCCAUGACUGAGAACCGCUACUCUACAGUGUGUGCUUGUAUGUCCAUAUCUUGGCUUGCCCGAUGGCUGCCACCAGACUGAAAAGCAUUAGAAUAUAUUUUAAUUAUGUGUA
rnacentral:sRNA from 1 species